rnacentral:rRNA from 1 species
GACAGAGGAUGCAAGCGUUAUCCGGAAUGAUUGGGCGUAAAGCGUCUGUAGGUGGCUUUUUAAGUCCGCCGUCAAAUCCCAGGGCUCAACCCUGGACAGGCGGUGGAAACUACCAAGCUUGAGUACAGUAGGGGCGGAGGGAAUUUCCGGUGGAGCGGUGAAAUGCAUAGAUAUCGGGAAGAACACCAACGGCGAAAGCACUCCGCUGGGCUGAUACUGACACUGACAGACGAAAGCUAGGGUAGCGAAAGG